rnacentral:rRNA from 1 species
GACGAACGCUGGCGGCGUGCUUAACACAUGCAAGUCGAAGAUAGUGGCGAACGGGUGAGUAAUACGUGGGUAACGUGACCUCCCUUUUGGGAUAAGCCUUGGAAACGGGGUCUAAUAUCGUAUCUAUGGGGUUGGGCUCGUGGCCUAUCCGCCUGUUGGUGGGGUGAUGGCCUAACAAGGCGGUGACGGGUAGCCGGACUGAGCGGGUACACGGCAACAGUGGGACUGAGAUACUGCCCAGACGCCGACGGGAGGCGGCAGUGGGGGAUAUUGCACAAUGGGCGACAGCCUGAGGCAGCGACGCUGAGUGGGGUUUGAAGGCUUUCGGGUUGUAAUCCUCGUGCUCUAUCGAACGGGUAGGUGGAGAAGAAGCGCCGGCUAACUACGUGCCAGCAGCCGCGGUAAUAC